rnacentral:rRNA from 1 species
UACGAAGGGUGCAAGCGUUACUCGGAAUUACUGGGCGUAAAGCGUGCGUAGGUGGUUUGUUAAGUCUGCUGUGAAAGCCCCGGGCUCAAUCUGGGAAUGGCAGUGGAUACUGGCAAGCUAGAGUGCGGUAGAGGGUAGUGGAAUUCCCGGUGUAGCGGUGAAAUGCGUAGAGAUCGGGAGGAACACCAGUGGCGAAGGCGGCUACCUGGACCAGCACUGGACACUGAGGCACGGAAAGCGAUGGGGAGGCAAACAGGG